rnacentral:rRNA from 1 species
AGUGAACGCUGGCGGUAGGCCUAACACAUGCAAGUCGAACGGCAGCACAGUAAGAGCUUGCUCUUACGGGUGGCGAGUGGCGGACGGGUGAGGAAUACUUCGGAAUCUACUUUUUCGUGGGGGCUAACGUAGGGAAACUUACGCUAAUACCGCAUACGACCUACGGGUGUAAGCAGGCGAUCUUCUGACCUUGCGCGAUUGAAUGAGCCUAUGUCGGCUUAGCUAGUUGGCGGGGUAAAGGCCCACCUAGGCGACGAUCCGUAUCUGGUAUGAGAGGAUGGUCAGCUACACUGGCACUGAGACUGGGUCGAGACUCCUACGCGGGGAAGCAGUCGGGAAUAUUGGACGAUGCGGGAGAGCCUGAUACAGCAAUAUCGCGUGGGUCAAGAUGGAGUUCGGGUUGUAGAGCCCUUUUGUUGGGAAAGAAAAGCAGCAGGUUAAUACCCCGCUGUUCUGACAGUACCCAAAGAAUAAGCACCGGCUAACUUCGUG